UAAAUUUUAAAAUUAUAAUGCUAAAAUAGUAAAUAAUUAUUUAUUAAAACUUAAAUAAUUUGGCGGUAUUUUAGUUCAUUUAGAGGAAUCUGUUUAAUAAUUGAUAUUCCACGAAUAAAUUUACUUAAUUUUUAAUUUUGUAUAUCGUUGUUAUAAAAAUAUUUUUUAAUAAAAUUAAUAUUUAAAAAUUAUUAUAAAAAUUUAAAUCAGAUCAAGAUGCAGAUUAUAGUUAAGAAUAUAAUGGAUUACAAUAAAAUUAUUUAAAUGGAUGUUAAUUUGUAAGAUUUAAUUGAAAGUGGAUUUAAAUGUAAUUUUAUUUAAUUUAAUAAAAUGAUUAAAAAUUAAAAUAUGU
rnacentral:rRNA from 1 species